UGUCCGACAGCGCUAGGGCUAGCGCCACAGGUCCGUCUUUGCUAUGGGCAGGUAACAGCCAAACUGGUCGGCUCAACUGCUGCGGCUCUUUUGUGUUGCAGCGCCCUUGGAUUGUGGCCGUGAUCAGAAGCGGACGAGCUGAGCCAUUGUAAGGCCACUGCUAGGCUCGUCUUCGGGGCCUCCCCCUUCCACGCCCCUGACAGGUUCCAAGGAGACUUCCAGCCGAAGAGGGCCGUCACGA